rnacentral:rRNA from 1 species
UGAGCGUUCGGUGGAUGCCUUGGCAUCAGGGGCCGAUGAAGGACGUGGUGGCCUGCGAUAUUCCUCGGGGAGCCGGCUGGCGGGCUGUGAUCCGAGGGUUUCCGAAUGGGGGGACCCGGCACGAGUUAUGUCGUGUCACCUGCAUCUGAAUUGUAUAGGGUGUGGGGGGUGACGCGGGGAAGUGAAACAUCUCAGUACCCGUAGGAGAAGAUAUUCCGUGAGUAGUGGCGAGCGAAAGCGGAUGAUGGUUAAACCGUGUGCGUGUGAUACUCGGCAGGGGUUGCGUGUGCGGGGUUGUGGGGCUGUUCUGUCCUCUUCUGCCGGAGAGGGGGCGCGUGUGCUGAUCUGUAGCUGAAUCGUCUGGGAAGGCGUGGCGUAGUGGGUGAUACCCCCGUAGGCGGAACUGGUUGGUGCGUGUCUGGGAUGGUGCCCGAGUAGCACGGGGCUCGUGGAAUCCUGUGUGAAUCUGCCAAGACCACUUGGCUGCCUGAAUACCUCCUGAUGACCGAUAGUGGAUAGUACCGUGAGGGAAUGGUGAAAAGUACCCCGGGAGGGGAGUGAAAUAGUACCUGAAACCGGGCGCUUGCAAGCCGUCAGAGCCUCCGCGUGCCUUGUGUGUGUGGGGGUGGUGGCGUGCCUUUUGAAGAAUGAGCCUGCGAGUCAGUGGCGUGUCGCGAGGUUAACCCGUGUGGGGUAGCCGUAGCGAGAGCGAGUCCGAACAGGGCGAGUGUAGUGGCGCGUUCUGGACCCGAAGCGGGGUGAUCUACCCAUGGCCAGGUUGAAGCACGUGUAAGAGCGUGUGGAGGACCGCACCCGCCUCAGUUGAAAAUGGGGGGGAUGAGCUGUGGGUAGGGGUGAAAGGCCAAUCAAACCCCGUGAUAGCUGGUUCUCCCCGAAAUGCAUUUAGGUGCAGCGUUGCGUGUUUCUUGCCGGAGGUAGAGCACUGGAUGGUCUAGGGGGCCCACAAGCUUACCGAAAUCAGCCAAACUCCGAAUGCCGGUAAGUGAGAGCGUGGCAGUGAGACUGUGGGGGAUAAGCUUCAUAGUCGAGAGGGAAACAGCCCAGAUCAUCAGCUAAGGCCCCUAAGCGGUAACUAAGUGGAAAAGGAUGUGGAGUUGCGUUGACAACCAGGAGGUUGGCUUGGAAGCAGCCAUCCUUGAAAGAGUGCGUAAUAGCUCACUGGUCAAGUGAUUCUGCGCCGACAAUGUAGCGGGGCUCAAGUUAUCCGCCGAAGCUGUGGCAUCCAUGCGUGUGGCCGGAAGGUUGUGUGGAUGGGUAGGGGAGCGUCGUGUGCGUGUUGAAGUGGUGGGGUGACCUGUCGUGGAGUGCAUACGAGUGAGAAUGCAGGCAUGAGUAGCGAAUGACGGGUGAGAAACCCGUCCGCCGAUUAUCCAAGGGUUCCAGGGUCAAGUUAAUCUGCCCUGGGUUAGUCGGGACCUAAGGCGAGGCCGACAGGCGUAGUCGAUGGACAACGGGUUGAUAUUCCCGUACCGGCGGAGCAACGCCCGUGCUGAGGCGCGUGAUGCUAAGCAUGCGAGACUGUCUGCUGCCUUUCGGGGUGGUGGGUGGUUGAGUCUGUGAUCCGAGUGUGUAGUAGGCAAGCUGCGGAGGGACGCAGGAAGGUAGCUCAUCCUCAGUGUUGGUUGUCUGAGGCUAAGUGUGUAGGGUGGGGUGUAGGUAAAUCCGCAUUCCGUGUGCCUGAGACAUGAUGGGCCUGCACUUUUUGUGGUGUGGGUUGAGUGAUCCUAUGCUGCCUAGAAAAGCUUCGUGAGCGAGUUGUGAGCCGCCCGUACCCUAAACCGACACAGGUGGAUAGGUAGAGUAUACCGAGGCGAUCGGGAUAAUCGUGGUGAAGGAACUCGGCAAAAUACCCCCGUAACUUCGGGAUAAGGGGGACCUGAUACGUGUUAAACCUUUGCGUUGAGAGCGUUGAGGGUCGCAGAGACCAGGCCCAAGCGACUGUUUACUAAAAACACAGGUCCGUGCCAACUUGUAAGAGGAUGUAUACGGACUGACUCCUGCCCGGUGCUGGAAGGUUAAGGGGAACUGUCAGCCAUUUUGUGUGGUGAAGCGGUGAACUUAAGCCCCAGUAAACGGCGGUGGUAACUAUAACCAUCCUAAGGUAGCGAAAUUCCUUGUCGGGUAAGUUCCGACCUGCACGAAUGGAGUAACGAUUUGGGCGCUGUCUCCACCACGAACCCGGUGAAAUUGCAUUACGAGUAAAGAUGCUCGUUACGCGCAGCAGGACGGAAAGACCCCGGGACCUUUACUAUAGUUUGGUAUUGGUGAUCGGUGUGACUUGUGUAGGAUAGGUGGGAGACUGUGAAGCCGGGACGCUAGUUUCGGUGGAGUCAUCGUUGAAAUACCACUCUGGUCACUCUGGUUAUCUAACCUAGGACCGUUAUCCGGUUCAGGGACAGUGCCUGAUGGGUAGUUUGACUGGGGCGGUCGCCUCCUAAAAGGUAACGGAGGCGCCCAAAGGUU